rnacentral:rRNA from 1 species
UGGUGGAGCGAUUUGUCUGGUUAAUUCCGAUAACGAACGAGACUCUAGCCUGCUAAAUAGUACACGAGUCAUUAGCUCGUGCGUACUUCUUAGAGGGACAAGUGGCGAUAAGUCACACGAAAUUGAGCAAUAACA